UGGGGAAUCUUAGACAAUGGGGGAAACCCUGAUCUAGCCAUGCCGCGUGGAUGAUGAAGGCCUUCGGGUUGUAAAGUCCUUUCGCCUGUGACGAUGAUGACGGUAGCAGGAGAAGAAGCACCGGCUAACUCCGUGCCAGCAGCCGCGGUAAGACGGAGGGUGCUAGCGUUGUUCGGAAUGACUGGGCGUAAAGGGCGCGUAGGCGGCUUUGUAAGUCAGGUGUGAAAUCCCAAGGCUUAACCUUGGAACUGCAUUUGAUACUGCGAGGCUUGAGAGUGGAAGAGGAAAGCGGAAUUCCUAGUGUAGAGGUGAAAUUCGUAGAUAUUAGGAGGAACAUCAGAGGCGAAGGCGGCUUUCUGGUCCAACUCUGACGCUGAGGCGCGAAAGCGUGGGGAGCAAA
rnacentral:rRNA from 1 species